GAGAGCUGUCCUUCAUGACAACAGAACCCACAACAACCAUGACUUUUAUCACCAUCUUCAUCUGGACACUUGUCUUCUACAUUGAAGAAUCCAGAGGACAGAUCACAGUGACUCAGACUCCUACUGUGAAAACUGUUCUCCCAGGAGAGAUAGUCUCUCUGAACUGUAAAGCCAGCAUUGAUGUGCAAACUAACUGCUGGAGUUCAGAAUCCAGAGGACAGAUCACUGAGACUCAGACACCUACAGUGAAAACUGUUCUCCCCAGACAGCCAGUCUCUAUGAACUGUAAAGCCAGCAGUGAUGUGUAUCCUGACUGUAAUAGGUCAGGUAAACCAUGUUUAGCCUGGUAUCAACAGAAACCUGGAGAAACUCCUAAACUACUGGUCUACUAUGGAAGCACCCUCUUCUCUGGGACUCCAUCUAGAUUCAGUGGCAGUGGAUCUGGGAGUGACUUCACUCUGACCAUCAGUGGAGUCCAGGCUGAAGAUGCAGGAGAUUACUACUGUCAGAGUGGACACACAAACUGGCUUGGUAGCACCUUUUGGUCCACAGUGAUACAGAGUCGUACAAAAACCUCCCUCAGUCAGACUGUACAGUGACUGUACUGGUACAGCUGGGACCUACUGCAGGUGCUGAGGGGAGGAGAUGAUCCAGUAUAAUGACACAGGGUGUAGUAGAGCUGAACAACAAUAGAAUCAAACAAGAGCUAUGUCUAGAAGACUUUAGAUCAUAACUGAUCACUAAAUGUUUCUCCUAACUAUUAACUACAUGUUGACUCUAUUGAGUAACUCAAGGAAAACCAUCAACCAAUCUGACUAUAGAUGAUGUGCAAUGAUGACUUGUGUUUUGAAUAGCUAGAAUUGAAUCAACAUGAUUCAAACACAUACAAUAAAGCCUCUAAACAUUACCCAGACAUCCUCCCUCACACCACUGUCGUAGUUCCAGAGAGCAUCAGGUUAAGCAGAAGACUGGAGAUGUCAGAGCUCUGGAGAUCUCCCCUUUCUAUCAGAGUCAUUCAGCAGCAUCACAGUCCCCACACAGACUGCAGUCACUGACCCUGACCAUUGGAGGGAGACAGAACACAGAUUCAAUCUGGUCUAAUAACACAGUAAUAACAAUAUGCGUCAUUUGUAGAUGUCUGUAAUAAAGCACUUAG